GGAUUGGGUACACACAGUCUGUGUCACAGAGCCUGGAGGCAGAGGCGUAGGGGUGGGGAGGUGUCAGACAUCCCCACAAGAACCAGAGACAAGCAGGCAUGGGUGCAGGGCAGUAGAAGGAAGGAGGAAACAGAUGUGGGUUUUUAAGGCUGGCAAGAGACACCAAGGAGACCAACCCCCUCCUUUGAGAAGCCAGGAGUCUCAAGAUGGAGGAGGAAGUGACUUAUUCCAGACUACUUGGGCUCCUCCAGGAUCUCUCCUCAGCUCUCUAUCUCUUCACCCUCUUCCCAGAUGAGGUGUCUACGCCCAGAUUCUAAGAAGAUUGGGUCUAGUGUACUCACCACCACAAUCUCAAGUACCUAGUACAGAGUUGGUACACCGUACUCAAAAAACCAAUUAUUUGUUGAACAAUCGGAUGGAUGGAUAGAUGGCACGCCCGCUCUUGACAAAGGUUUGCUAACUUGUCUUCUUUGAAAACCUACAGAAUAGCUUCCUGGGAAUGGGGCUUCCUUGGUGCUGAGUGCACACCGAGACUGGGAUCUUUCUACACAUCCUUGGAACGGGUCCUAUCGCUCUUCUGGAAAGGGGAGCUACAUCUAAGGCAAGGCCAAGUACUGAAGAUGGUGAACUAGAUCAGGAGAUGACUCAAGCCUAACAACAACUCAGCUGAAGCAUGAACUCCAGACUGGAACAGAUUCCAGACUAGGUCUUGAGUCUUCUUCCGUUUUUUUGUUUUGUUUUGUUUUGUUUUGUUUUGUUUUGUUUUGUUUUGUUUUUUAAGUAGGCCAGCAUGGAGCCCAAUGCGAGGCUUGAACUGAUGACCCUGAGAUCAAGAUCUGAGCUGAGAUCUGAGCUGAGAUCAAGAGUCAGACACUUAACCAAGUGAGCCACCCAGGCACCCUACUGAGCUUUCUUCCUUUAAGGUGAACUGGAGAUAUCCUUCCAAGGAAGGGAUUCUCACUCGAAGAGAAUGAAAUGAUGCCGGGCUUUCUGUAUCCCCACCUUCCCCCUACUCUCAAGGCCCAGUCCGGUGCCAGGCCCAGAGGAUGGUCAAUGAGCAUGUAUCCAUUAAACAGCAUUGCAGGCAUACCGGCUUCCCGAAA